ensembl:lncRNA
GUAAGGGGAGUAGGAACAGAGAAACAUGUCGAUGGUGGCAAUAAUAUAUAUUGUAUAUAAAUGCUAGCAUAGGGUAUGAGGUAGAGUAAGUGUACAGCAGUGCGGUGGCGGUGGGUGCAAUUGGUCGAGGGUUUCUGCAGGUAGACCGGGUGGAGAGACUACAGCAGCGUCCCAUGGCGAAGAUAGUCUAGAUUAGGAGAGAAAGAAAAAGAACAGAGUGAGUGGGUUAUUAUAGGCAUUAGCAAUGUGAUAAGAAAGGAGAGGGAGAGGGAGAGAGAGAGAGAGAGAGAGAGGCUGCCUGGCUGGGUGUAUGGGGAUUUUAUUUAAUAUUUAGUUGGCUGGCGACAGUCGCAAUACGCGCCGUGUGCUGUACCCGGGAUCUUCCGCACUCCUUCACGGUACAACAUACGCUGUCUGUAGCCCAGUUAUGUUGAUUAGGGGGGUAUUGCAUGUGUUUUAGAUGUGUUUAGCUAUGCUGGCAUUUAGCAUUUAGUUUGGUUUGGCAUUUAGUUUGGUUUAGCAUUAGUUAUGUUUAGUUAUGCUGCCAUUUAGCAAUUAGUUUGGUUUGGUACAUAUGGAGAUUUUAGUCGUAAGCUUUGUUAGGGUUGCAGGGUACAACAUACGCUGUCUGUAGCCCAGUGAUAUACUUUUUUUUUUUUUUUUUUUUUAAUUCUUAUGUGUUCAGUUAUGUCUAGUUAUGCUUGCUGACUGGCUGGCCCAGUAGGUGAUGGGUUUGUUGAUGCAAUUACUUGUGGCUAUAGGAUGCACUAAAGAGGAAUGUCUUUAGUCUUGAUUUGAAUAUAGGUAGGGUGUCUGCAUCUCGGAUGGAGGCAGGGAGAUUGUUCCAGAGGAGGGGGGCUCGGUAGCUAAAGGCUCUGCCUCCUACUGUGGUUUUUGAUAUUCUUGGAAUUACAAGGAGGCCUGCACUCUGGGAACGCAGCGGUCUUGGAGGGCAGUAGGGGACAACUAGUUCCUUAAGGUAGUUUGGAGCCAGGUCAUUUAGGGCUUUGUAUGUUAGCAGGAGUACUUUGAAAUCAAUUCUACUUUUGACAGGGAGCCAAUGCAGAGAGGCAAGUACAGGUGAGAUGUGCUCAUAUUUUUUUGUUCUGGUGAGUGUACGGGCAGCAGCGUUCUGUAUAAGUUGGAGGCUCUUUA